rnacentral:rRNA from 1 species
AGUGGCGGACGGGUGAGUAACACGUAAGAAUUUGCCUUUAGGAGGGGGACAACAGCUGGAAACGGCUGCUAAUACCCCAUAUGCUUUCGAGUGAAAUGGAUUUCCGCCUGAAGAGAAGCUUGCGGCUGAUUAGCUUGUUGGUGAGGUAAUGGCUCACCAAGGCGACGAUCAGUAUCUGGUUUGAGAGGACGAUCAGACACACUGGAACUGAGACACGGUCCAGACUCCUACGGGAGGCAGCAGUGGGGAAUUUUCCGCAAUGGGCGAAAGCCUGACGGAGCAAUACCGCGUGAGGGAUGAAGGCCAAUGGGUUGUAAACCUCUUUUUUCAGGGAGGAACAAAAUGACGUGUACCUGAAGAAUAAGCAUCGGCUAACUCCGUGCCAGCAGCCGCGGUAAGACGGGGGAUGCAAGUGUUAUCCGGAAUCACUGGGCGUAAAGCGUCUGUAGGUGGUUAAGUAAGUCAACUUGUUAAAUCUUGAGGCUCAACCUCAAAAUCGCAGUCGAAACUGCUUGACUAGAGUAUAGUAGGGGUAAAGGGAAUUUCCAGUGGAGCGGUGAAAUGCGUAGAUAUUGGAAAGAACACCGAUGGCGAAGGCACUUUACUGGGCUAUUACUAACACUGAGAGACGAAAGCUAGGGUAGCAAAUGGGAUUAGAUACCCCAGUAGUCCUAGCUGUAAACAACGGAUACUAGAUGUU